AUUUUAUCACGAUAUUAAAUGUUGUUAUGACCAAAAACAUUGUUGGUCUCCAGAGUUGUCUAGACGUCUAGAGUAAUGUGAAUGAGAUGGACGAUAAUCAGCUGUAAAAGGGCAAAACAUUGCAUCGAGUGGUUAAAUAUCUCUGCUGAAGUGCAUAUUUUGUACUGUAAAAAGUGCUGAAGUUGAAUUAAUUAUUGUUCCUUGCAACAAUUGAAGAGUGGUAGAAUCAUAUUUUUCAUCAUGGUUAAUUCCUGUUCUGCAUAUAAUUGUACGGAAAGGUUCAAGAAAGGUAGUGGAAUAUCUUUUUUCUCAUUUCCCAGUGAUUCAAAAUUGAGAUCGCAGUGGGUGUUAGCUCUGAAAAGAAAUAAUUUCCAGCCAUCAAAAUUCUCUACGUUAUGCAGUAAACAUUUUAUUGAUAGUGAUAUUGUGCGUGAUUUUGGAAAGAUAAAGCUUAGAGAAGGCACCAUUCCCUCAAUAUUUGAUUUUCCGGAACAUUUGAAAAAGAAGACUUCCUUGCCUAGAUCUCAUAGAAAAAGACCUAUGAAGACUUUGGAAGAUAAAAAUGAACCUAGUAAUAAAAAAAGGCUCAAUUUGGAUAUUGCAUCAACAAGUUCUCAAAACUACUUGGAGGAGGAUAUCAGUAAAGGUGAUUGUAUUGCGGAAUCUCAAAUUCAAAAAAGCCAAGGUGCACAUGUUCAACAAAAAAAUGAAGAAAAUCCAGACAGGAUACCAAACCAACACUUGGGAUGUAUAAGCAAAAAUGAACAAUCAUUGGAUGCAAGAUGUACGAGUCCUUCCAGAAAGAAAAAAACAGUGAAGGAAGAAAAAGAAGUAUUUCCAGACACUCCACCUAUUUCCGAAGUUUAUAUACAAGAGCAAAACCUUCAACAGGAAAGCAAAAUUCCCUCGCAAGAUCCAAUCAAUGAGGAAUUUAUAAAAAUUGAAUAUUUAGAAGAAUAUAAGCCCACAAAUGAUACCAAAAAUGAUUUAUCAAUAGAAGAAAUCAUGUCUGACCAAAGUGAACUGGGUUUCUCAACAAUCUCCUCUCCAGGCAUCAUCUGCAAAAGAUCACUUAGCGAUGAUGAUGGAAGCUCUAGUGAGCAGUACAGUUCAAAGAGGCAGAAAUUAAAUGAGGCACGGGAACAACCUAAGAAGAGUUCAUGCGAGUUAUUUCUGUUGAGUUUGGUUCCUCAUUUAGAAUCAAUGACUGACCAUCAACAACUGUCAUUUCAAAGGCAGGUGCUACAGUUGCUGGAGAUUAUUAAAUAUCCCCAAUCAGACAGACCAUAAAGUAAACAUUUGUAGAAAAUGGAAUAACUGCGUUAAAUUUUGCAAUGCUGGUAAAGAUUAAUGAAGCACUUCUGUGAUAUUUUUUUUUAUAUGAAUUAUAUAUUGAUAAUAAAGAUAUUUUUAUAAUUA